rnacentral:rRNA from 1 species
AUACGUAGGUGCCAAGCGUUAUCCGGAUUUACUGGGCGUAAAGGGCGUGUAGGCGGUCUUGCAAGUCAGAAGUGAAAUUCCUGAGCUCAACUCGGGCGCUGCUUCUGAAACUGCAGGACUUGAGUGCUGGAGGGGAUAGCGGAAUUCCUAGUGGAGCGGUAAAAUGCGCAGAUAUUAGGAAGAACACCGGUGGCGAAGGCGGCUAUCUGGACAGUAACUGACGCUGAGGCGCGAAAGCGUGGGGAGCAAACAGGAUUAGAUACCCUGGUAGUCCACGCCGUAAACGAUGAAGACUAGGUGUAGGGGGUAUCGACUCCCUCUGUGCCGCAGUUAACACAAUAAGUAUUCCGCCUGGGGAGUACGGCCGCAAGGUUGAAACUCAAAUGAAUUGACGGGG